rnacentral:lncRNA from 1 species
AAUAUGGCAUCCAGUAAUAAUGUUAAAUACAUGGAAGGAUUAGGUUGAUCGUGUAAUUUUUCUAAGCUAUCUUAUUUGCCUCAUACAAUUUGAUGAAUCAAUUCUUCAUUAUUUUUAAGAUAGGUACUCUGCAUAGUGCGCAAGGCAAUAGAGUACACAUUUAUUCAAUAUUAUGGUCUAUAGUAUUAAUGCAAGAAGUCCAUGGUAGCCUUUGUUGUGGCAUUAAGGUCUCUUCUCUAUGAAAAGCCAUCAAUAAUUGGAUCCAUAUAGCUUAUUGUAGUCACAAAUCUGGACGGUGGUGCUUUGAAUCAUGUGGAUGGAGCAUAAUGACAUGGUAUUCAACAAUAUAAAGUAGCACCCAAGUAAGCUUCUUCA